rnacentral:sRNA from 1 species
GAUGAAUUCAAAUGUUAUAGGGCAUUUAAUCUUAGAGUUUAAUAAAAUUCGAGAACGAUGGAUAAAAAUAGCAGUUGUUCGGAUGAAAUAAAAAGUACGUUAAUACGAGUAUACGGAAUCCAAAGGGUUGGUUGAAUGUUAGUUUAAUGUGUUCAUUUUUUUUCUUUCUGUUUAUUUGUAGAUCAAUUUAGAAGAACAAUUGGGAAAGAGUUCCUUACAAGAUAUUCAACACUCAGGUUGGAUAAAUUUAUUUACUCGAUUCCUCGAACAUUUUCAAUUAACCGUCCACGAGGAUUUAAUUUUAGAGUUUAUUAAAAUUUCGGAACGAUAUCCGUGGACAGAAAUCAAAGAGUUGCUUUAAUGGGUUGAUAUUUUCCUUUGUUAUUAUUUUGCAGAUCAAUUUAGAAGGAUGACUGGCAAAGAGUUCCCAGUAAAAUAUUCAACACUCAGUUUGGAUAAAUUUAUUCUCUGUAUUCUUUUGCAUGAAAUUAAUAAAUUUGGGUGAAGCCAUCGAACAUUUUAAAAUAAAACGUCCAUGAUUAAAGAAGGAAUCAAAUAUUGUAGGCGAUUAAGUGUUAUGAAUUAAAAAUAAAAAAUCAAUUUAGAACGAUGACGGGGAAAAGUUCCCAGCAAGAUAUUCAACAAUCAGGUUAGAUACAUUUAUUCUCUCGAUUCCUUUGAAUGAGGUUCAUUUGUUUGGGUUAAAGAUGAAAUCAAAUACUGUCGGGGAUUAGAGUUUAUUAAAAUUCGGGAACGAUGUCCGUGGAUAAAUAGGGAUGCUAAAAAAAUUCCUAGUUCGAGAAUUACCUCCGAGGGCAUGUCUUCGGAUCAAUAAAGAAGGAUGACUGCGAAAGCAUUCCCAAUAUGAAAUUCAACACUCAGGUUGAAUAAAUUUAUUAUGUCUUUUCCUUUUAUGACUGCCGUUGAGAGAGAAAAUAAUUUAAUAUUUUUUUAUA